UACGUAGGGAGCAAGCGUUGUCCGGAAUCAUUGGGCGUAAAGCGCGCGUAGGCGGCCUCAUAAGUCCGUUGUGAAAGUCAAAGGCUCAACCUUUGAAAGCCGAUGGAUACUGUGAGGCUAGAGUCCGGAAGAGGCGAGUGGAAUUCCUGGUGUAGCGGUGGAAUGCGCAGAUAUCAGGAGGAACACCAGUGGCGAAAGCGGCCACCUGGACUGCACCUGACGCUGACACGCGAAAGCUAGGGGAGCGAACGGG
rnacentral:rRNA from 1 species